GCCAUCUACAAAGAAUUGGAUGGUAAAAUUACACCUCAGGGCGUAUAAACCGAAAAAGAAAAGAUAAAUAUACAAAACUAGGAAUUCCAGAUUUCAUCCACUCACUCUAUUCCCAUUUCAAUUUCCUUACUACAAAGCUUUUAUUUCUUUGCUUUUUUUCUUAUUUUUUUGUUCCUAUUCCACAGUUAUUUCUAAUAUCGUUGUAAGUCUGGGUGUUUUGUAUCUUCUGAGAAGUAAAGAUGAACAUACAACACUUACAGAUGA
rnacentral:misc_RNA from 1 species